UGUCCUGCUCUGCUCUGCUCUGGGGCAGCCUCACCUCCAGUGCUGGGGCAGUGCUGGGUGCCACCAUGUAAAAAAGACAUUAAACUGUGGGAGAGUGUCCAGAGGAGGGCAAUGAGGAUGGAGAAGGGCCUUGAGGGGAAACCAUACAAGGAGUGGCUGAGGUCACUGGAUAUGUUCAGCUUGGAGGAGACUGAACGGAGAUGUCAUCAGGGUCUGCAGUUUCCACAUGAUGGGAAGAGGAGGGGCAGGCACUGAUUUCUCUUCUGUGGUGACCAGUGACAGGACCCAAGGGAAUGGCCUCAGGUUGUGUCAGGGGAGGUUUGGGUUUGAUAUUAGAAAAAUGUUCUUCACCCAGAGGGUGUUUAGGCACUGGUUCCUCACCAGGGAAGUGGUCACAGCACCAGCCUGACAGAGCUCAAGAAGUGUUUGGAUAGCACCCUGAGACACGUGGUGUGACUCUUGGUAAUAGUGCUGUGCAGGGCCGGAGUUGGACUCAAUGAUUUGUGUCCCUUCCCACUCAGCUCAUGCUGUGAUUGUGAGAUUCUGUGAUUUACAAAGGGUUUUCUGGCUAUCUAGAAAGAGCAUGUUUUUCUGUGGCUUAUUUUUCACUAUAUUUUUCAAAAUUUGAAUUGGCAUUCAUGUCCUUCAUGAGUUACAAUGUAUUUCUGAGGUCUUUAUUUUGCGAAGCAUAUUUUCCCAAUCCAUACCAUCUAACACUGAUUGUUUUCAUCCUGUAGAAGGAUCUUGGGGGACCUUAGAAAAUGCAGUUACCUGCAUAUUUCAACAUAUAACAGUUGCCUUGCCUGCCUCAGAAUCUUGAGGACUCAGAACAGCUUUUAAAAAUCCAUCUGUAACACCAAACUGCUUUUCCUGUUGUUUUUGUUGCCAACUGAACCCCUCCCUGGAGCUGCAGUAAUUGGAUUUAUUGCAGAAAGGCAUCCAGAAACAGGAAGUUUCUCUUUAAUAUUACUGCAAGGAAUGGGGUGGAGUGAUUUGAAUGAAGAUGCAAAAUAGCUGUUAUCAAGAGUGAAGAUCAAAGAGAAGGUGAUGAAUGGGUGGUUUCGGGUUGUUAUUGCUUUUGAGAGGUGACUGAAGGGAAAACAAAGCAAAACACACACAUAAAUUGUUGUCAGUAAGUUAAAGGUAUUGGUCUGAAUUCUUUGUACAAGUUCACUCGCUCUGCAGUCCUUAAAACAAUUCAACAAUAAGGAAAAUAAACCUUUUUAUUAUUUUCUGUAAGAACAUAAAUAGUAACUCAAAUGCCUCUUCCUUUUUCCUAAACUUAAACUGAAAUCCCUCACUGUGUAUCCUGGCUUGUCUCCUCUGAUCUUUGGUUUCUUUUCAAGCAUGUCUCUUGCUAUCUUCGUAUCUCAUUCAAUAUCAUAAUAUGCCAUAUUUUGCUGAUAUAUAUUAUGCUAAUUUUUUUGGCCCAACAGGCAGUAAGCACAGAUUUACAAUGAAAGAAAAUAACAAUAAUAAAUGGUAGGAAAAACUAGAAGCUUUUUGUGAAUCCAAAUUUGAAUCCAUAUUGUUUUCUUCUGACCCUGUCCAUACUAUCCCAAGCAGAGAGGCAAUGCCAGGUGAAAGAAAACAUUCUUACCAGGAUGUGCUUCUGUGAACACUCAAUGUGAUUAGAUGUGCUCAUUACAGUUUCAUUUAUCCCUAAAAGGAGCUACCUUCCUCCCAUGCCUAGAGCGUUGCAAUCAGAAUAAAUCCUAAGCCUCGUGUACAUCUGCAGCCAAACUCCAACGAGCAUUAGAUUUCAAGUUUUGCAGUAUUUGCAUUGUUGUAUUUAAAAGGAAGCAAGUGUUCUGGGGCUCUUCUCAGAGAGGUUAAGCUACUGAGAUGUUCUCUGCUUCAUUUACCCUUUCUGUGCAGUCAAAGUGCUACUGUUUCCCUGAUGUCACAAGGCUGGAUGCUUUGGAACCUCCAAACUGACUGACAGAGGCUGAUGUGAAUGAAUGCAUGCAGUUUUCCUCUGUGUCAGAUGAGGAAAACCAGGGCAUGGUGUACUCCCUUUGAAAUUUUCUGAGUGACACAGCAGUAUAAAUUCCUCUGACUGUUUCCAGUCUGGGGCAGAAAGUUGAGCACUGUUACCAUUACAUCUCUACAUGCUGGACAGCUGGACAGCAUUCACACACAUGACAGAGCACUGGGGCUUUUGUUGCUUUUGCUUUCAGUCACUCCUAUUUGUGCCUCACAGGAUAGCUUCUAGCUAGACAGAUAAAAAUGCCUAAAUAAGAAUCUUAUGAUAGAAACAGUUUCAUCAUAACACCCAAAUUUUAUGAGUAGUAAAAAAUCAACCAGGCAGCUAUCAUAGCUAGUUAAUCUACAGUCUUCACAGAAAAUCCUUUGACACAAUAGAACAUACUGUGGAACAGCGAGCCAGGAGUGCAGAGUGAGAGUGAGGCAGUUUUUAGAAUGCUGCAGUCACUCUGGAGUUUGGAGGUCACAUGGCUACUCAUGCUAUAGCGACAGCAUCGUUUUCACCUGAGCCUUGUCAGCACCUUCUACUUGAGAAAUCUAAUGCAACUGAAAUAAUAAAGCAUGAAGAUAAAUUUA